AGUGAACGCUGGCGGUAGGCCUAACACAUGCAAGUCGAACGGCAGCACAGUAAGAGCUUGCUCUUACGGGUGGCGAGUGGCGGACGGGUGAGGAAUACAUCGGAAUCUACUUUUUCGUGGGGGAUAACGUAGGGAAACUUACGCUAAUACCGCAUACGACCUACGGGUGAAAGCAGGGGUUCUUCGGACCUUGCGCGAUUGAAUGAGCCGAUGUCGGAUUAGCUAGUUGGCGGGGUAAAGGCCCACCAAGGCGACGAUCCGUAGCUGGUCUGAGAGGAUGAUCAGCCACACUGGAACUGAGACACGGUCCAGACUCCUACGGGAGGCAGCAGUGGGGAAUAUUGGACAAUGGGCGCAAGCCUGAUCCAGCCAUACCGCGUGGGUGAAGAAGGCCUUCGGGUUGUAAAGCCCUUUUGUUGAGAAAGAAAAGCAGCAGGUUAAUACCCCGCUGUUCUGACGGUACCCAAAGAAUAAGCACCGGCUAACUUCGUG
rnacentral:rRNA from 1 species